UUUCACCAGCUAAUAAGAAAUGUUGAACAAACGCGAGUCUUUGGAACCAAACUGGUUGGCAUUGAACCAAAAGAUGUAUAAUGUAUCUACACUUAAACCAACAGUAGAAAGAAAAUGAAAGAGAAAAAUCACAGUUGCUCCUCUUCAAACGAUCUUCUUCCUGUUAUGAGUCAUCUGAUGGCCAUAUCACCGUCUCUUUGAGCCUUUCCCGCAUCAACUCCAAGUUCUCAUCAGAGAUUUCUUGAUAUAUUUCAGCGUGAUUACAUUUCUUGACCCAUUUUCCAUACAAGUGGAGCCGCGUUACCAUCACUCUCUCAGCAAGGCCCUGGUGCUCCUUCACAAGUGUACGGAUGAAACGUCUGCCCUCUCCAGGCUUAUUUGAUGCAACAAAAUUAUAAAACCAUCUAUAUUGUGUUGGAUUCAUCUCAUAGAGCUGGUGAAGAACAGUUCUUACUGCCUUGUACGUGAAAUAGUUGAGAAUUUGCGUUUUAACAUCUACAAAACUAUCUUCAUAUUGCCCUCCCAAU
rnacentral:misc_RNA from 1 species